rnacentral:rRNA from 1 species
UACGUAGGGCGCAAGCGUUGUCCGGAAUUAUUGGGCGUAAAGAGCUCGUAGGCGGCUUGUCACGUCGGGUGUGAAAGCCCGGGGCUUAACCCCGGGUCCGCAUUCGAUACGGGCUGGCUAGAGUGUGGUAGGGGAGAUCGGAAUUCCUGGUGUAGCGGUGAAAUGCGCAGAUAUCAGGAGGAACACCGGUGGCGAAGGCGGAUCUCUGGGCCAUUACUGACGCUGAGGAGCGAAAGCGUGGGGAGCGAACAGG